AUUGAACGCUGGCGGCAGGCCUAACACAUGCAAGUCGAGCGAGCGGCGGACGGGUGAGUAAUGUAUGGGGAUCUGCCCGAUAGAGGGGGAUAACUACUGGAAACGGUAGCUAAUACCGCAUACUAUCAGAUGAGCCCAGGUGGGCUUAGCUAGUUGGUGGGGGAAAGGCUCCCCACGGCGACGAUCUCUAGCUGGUCUGAGAGGAUGACCAGCCACACUGGGACUGAGACACGGCCCAGACUCCUACGGGAGGCAGCAGUGGGGAAUAUUGCACAAUGGGCGCAAGCCUGAUGCAGCCAUGCCGCGUGUAUGAAGAAGGCCUUAGGGUUGUAAAGUACUUUCAGCGGGGAGGCGUUACCCGCAGAAGAAGCACCGGCUAACUCCGGGCCAGCCGCCGCGGUAAUUC
rnacentral:rRNA from 1 species